rnacentral:rRNA from 1 species
UACGUAGGGUGCGAGCGUUGUCCGGAAUUAUUGGGCGUAAAGAGCUCGUAGGCGGUUUGUCGCGUCUGCUGUGAAAUCCCGGGGCUUAACCCCGGGCGUGCAGUGGAUACGGGCAGGCUGGAGGCAGGCAGGGGAGAAUGGAAUUCCCGGUGUAGCGGUGAAAUGCGCAGAUAUCGGGAGGAACACCGGUGGCGAAGGCGGUUCUCUGGGCCUGUUCUGACGCUGAGGAGCGAAAGCGUGGGGAGCGAACAGG